UACGGAGGGUGCAAGCGUUAUCCGGAUUCACUGGGUUUAAAGGGUGCGUAGGUGGGAAUGUAAGUCAGUGGUGAAAUCUCCGUGCUUAACAUGGAAGCUGCCAUUGAUACUAUGUUUCUUGAAUUUUCUGGAGGUAAGCGGAAUAUGUCAUGUAGCGGUGAAAUGCUUAGAUAUGACAUAGAACACCAAUUGCGAAGGCAGCUUGCUACAGGGAUAUUGACACUGAGGCACGAAAGCGUGGGGAUCAAACAGG
rnacentral:rRNA from 1 species